AUAGAUAAUAUGUUCUUUUUGACACAUUCAUAGGUUAUGGAGGUUAAAGUUACAGUGAUAAGUACCUCUCCUGAUAAGAAGGAAGAAGCUAUUGACAAUCUUGGUGCUAACUCAUUUUUUAUCAUUCGUGACCAAAAUCAAAUAGAGGUGCCAUGAGUACAAUGGAUGGAAUUAUCGACACAAUCUUUGUAGUGCACCCACUUAUGCCUUUGAUUGGUCUAUUAAGGUCUUAAGGAAAGUCGAUUAUGGUUGGAGCACCAAACAAGCCUCUUGAGCUACCAAUUUUUCCAUUAUUGUUGGAAUGUGAUUUUAUGAUGAUGGAGGAAGGAAAAUAGUAGCUGGAAGUUGCACUGGAGGAGUGAAAGAGACACAAGCGAUGAUUAAUUUUGCAGCCAAACAAAACAUUACAUCUCAUAUUGAACUUAUUCCCAUUCAUUAUGUCAACACUGCGCCAUAGAACGUCUUCUCAAAUCUUUCUUUAGCUUCUUCGAUUUCUCUAUUCAAAAUCUCAAUCGUGGUCUAUCUUUGAUUUUAGGUUGAGAAUUCGCACUUCAAAAGAUAUUGAGUUUGCAUUUUAUAUAAAAGAUAGAAGAAGGAAGAAAGUAUUGGCUCCGAUGAUCUCCGCAAGAUAGAUUUGGUGGAGCUACUAAAUAGAAAAAAUGAUAAUUUUUUUUUUUCCAAUUUGUAUUUGCAUUAAUAUUAUAGUGCAAGUUUUUUUAAGAUUUAUAUUUAAGAGAGACCAUUUUGAAUAUUUAUUUGUUACAAUGACAUUAAUUUUAGAAAUUAUGAAAUGUACGUAUAUUUUUAGUUUUA